rnacentral:misc_RNA from 1 species
GAUGAAGAACGUAGCGAAAUGCGAUACGUAAUGUGAAUUGCAGAAUUCAGUGAAUCAUCGAAUCUUUGAACGCAUAUUGCGCUCUCUGGUAUUCCGGAGAGCAUGCUUGUUUGAGUAUCAGUAAACACCUCAACUCCCUUUUCUUUUUUGAAAUUGGAGCUGGACUUGAGUGAUCCCAACGCUUUCUUCCAAGAAAGUGGCGGGUUGCUUGAAAUGCAGGUGCAGCUGAACUUUUCUCUGAGCUAUAAGCAUAUCUAUUUAGUCUGCCUAAAAAACAGAUUAUUACCUUUGCUGCAGCUAACAUAAAGGAGACUAGUUCUUGUGCUGACUGAUGCAGGAUUCACAGAGACAGCUUCGGCUGACUUUGUAAACUCGAUCUCAAAUCAAGUAAGACUACCCGCUGAACUUAAGCAUAUCAAUAAGCGGAGA